AGAACGAACGCUGGCGGCAUGCCUAAUACAUGCAAGUCGAACGAACUCUUCGGAGUUAGUGGCGCACGGGUGCGUAACGCGUGGGAAUCUGCCCCUUGGUUCGGAAUAACAGUUGGAAACGACUGCUAAUACCGGAUGAUGACGAAAGUCCAAAGAUUUAUCGCCAAGGGAUGAGCCCGCGUAGGAUUAGCUAGUUGGUGAGGUAAAGGCUCACCAAGGCAACGAUCCUUAGCUGGUCUGAGAGGAUGGAUCAGCCACACUGGGACUGAGACACGGCCCAGACUCCUACGGGAGGCAGCAGUAGGGAAUAUUGGACAAUGGGCGAAAGCCUGAUCCAGCAAU
rnacentral:rRNA from 1 species